GUAGCAAUUCUGCCCCGUGAUUGGCUGUGAAAAAAUGUAAACAGCGAAUCAACCAAUCAAAGGGCAGAAUUUGCUAUCGAUUACGAUAACGAUGAAUACUUAUUCUUAAAGAAUCGGGGGGCUGCUCCGCUUCAAUAAUUUUUUUGCAGUGUGA